rnacentral:pre_miRNA from 1 species
CCCUUAACUAUUAAAAGUUUCAUUUUGGUCCUUUAAAUUACUUUUUGGUUUCGUUUUGGUCCCUUAACUCUUCCUCCGUCAACCACUUUGAUCCUUUAUGUUAGGAUGAAUGUAUUAGAGUUAAGGGACCAAAAUGAAAUCAAAAAAUAAGUUAAGGGAUCAAAACGAAACCAAAAAAUAGGUUAAGGGACCAAAACGAAAUCAAAAAAUAAGUUAAGGGACCAAAACGAAACUUUUAAUAGUUAAGGGA